AGCAGUCGCCGCGGGAAUACGGAGGAUCCGAGCGUUAUCCGGAAUUAUUGGGUUUAAAGGGUGCGUAGGCGGAUAGAUAAGUCAGUGGUGAAAGACGGUGGCUCAACCAUCGCAGUGCCGUUGAUACUGUUUAUCUUGAAUAUGGAUGAGGUAGGCGGAAUGUGGCAAGUAGCGGUGAAAUGCAUAGAUAUGCCACAGAACACCGAUUGCGAAGGCAGCUUACCAAGGCAAAAUUGACGCUGAGGCACGAAAGCGUGGGGAUCGAACAGGAUUAGAUACCCCCGUAGUCCCUGUCUCUUAUAC
rnacentral:rRNA from 1 species